rnacentral:tRNA from 1 species
AUCUAUAUAGUUUAAUAAAAACGAUAAACUUUCUAUUUAUAAAUUCCUAUUAAAAGUAGGCUAUAGAUU